rnacentral:tRNA from 1 species
GGAGGGAUCGCAUAGUGGCCUAGUGCGGGCGCCUGCUAAGCGCUUGCCCUGGAAACGGGGUCGUGGGUUCGAAUCCCACUCCCUCCGCCA